GUCGAGGGGCGAUGGGGGCGGCGCCUGAGGGGCGGGGGGCGGCCGCCUCUGCCCUCUUGCGAGUGGCCUCGGAUCUGUGUGUACCCCUUUAAGAAGGAGCCGCUCGAGCUGACGGUUGGGAUUUGAAGUUCUUCCUCCCUCUUUGGAAGUCUGGACGGAUGGGGGGUGUUGCUAUGGCGACGGCACCCUCCCCACGCCCCCCCCCCCUUUCCUUGAGGACGCCCCGACGACUCCGGUCCUCUUUUCGCUGUCAUGUGAUGGACUCGCGUAGCCCUCCCCGCCUCCCAUUCCUGUUCAAAUGCAGUUCAGUUUUCCGUUUCGGUGGGGUCUGAUCGGUUUUGCUUCAAACUUGCGCGCUCCCGGCUGUCAUUCAGUGGGCUGCUCCGGGUAGCGGGAAGUACUGGGACUCCCUUACCUUGUUGCGGUCGCUGCUUUUCCUCACUCAGAGUGCGACGUGUGCCCACAGCUGUUACCCAGCAGGUUUUGAGAGUAUUUUAGAAGGGCUUUAUGGACCACGGCUACGAAGAGACCUCAGUUUAUUUGAAGACUGUGAACCAGAAGAGCUGACUGACUGGUCUAUGGAUGAAAAAUGUUCAUUUUGUAACCUACAGAGAGAAGCAGUCAGUGAUUGUAUACCAUCUCUUGAUUCUUCACAGUCAACGCCAACAGAGGAGCUAUCAUCUCAGGGCCAGUCCCACACUGAUAAGAUUGAAUGCCAAGCAGAAAGUUACCUAAAUGCACUCUUUCGAAAGAAAGAUCUUCCUCAGAACUGUGAUCCUAACAUUCCCUUAGUUGCUCAGGAAUUAAUGAAAAAAAUGAUACGUCAGUUUGCAAUUGAGUACAUCUCAAAAAGCGGUAAAAUUCAAGAAAAUAGAAAUGGUUCAAUUGGAGCAAGUCUCGUGUGUAAAAGUAUCCAAAUGAACCAAGCAGACAACUGCCUUCAGGAUGAGCAAGAAGGCCCCUUAGACCUCACUGUGACUCGAACGCAAGAGCAAACUGCUCAGCAAGGGGAUGGAGUGUUAGAUCUCUCUACAAAGAAAACCAGCAUAAAGUCUGAAGAGUCAUCCAUAAGUGAUCCUUCUUCUGAAAAUGCAGUGGCUGGUUCAACUGUUGAUGCAAAAUCAGAGGAAGCUACUAAAAUGGAAAAAGGAAAAUCAGCAUUAAGCAAAGUUUUGGAAUCUUUGUGCAUACAUCACCAUCAACAAGUUUUGGCUAUGUUGAAAUUUCUAGUCCAAGAGCAGAAUGCUGCUUCUCUUUGCUGUUGUAAUUCAUCAUGUGCUAUGUCUUCAGAAUCUCAAAAGCCCCUAUUGGAGGAUGGUUUUCAUGGUCUGUUCUGUAGCUGUGAAUAUAGACUGGCAGAAAGAGGGUGUUUACAGAAUGAGAGACAAAGCCCUGGUCUAGUGCCUCUGCCAGUCUGUAUUAAAGAAAUACAGUGUUUGUCUUGUCAAACUGUAACUGUUGAACACAUUAAGACAGUAAUGAAUCGAGGAAUUGAAAACAGUUCUAAUCCACACAGGUGCUGUUGUGGACAAUUAGCAAAGACUCAGUCUACAAAACCAGCCUGUCACAGUCCUCCUUUGUCACGGGAAGUUUGUGAUCUUUCAGUCACUCUUCAAAAUACCUGUAGAUCUCGAAGUCCCUCGCCCCCACCAUUAUCACCUGUGGAGACUGGAGGAUUGGAAAAAUGGAAAGACAUCGUCUCAGAGCUUUCAGCUGUAGAAAAUAACAAACUUGAGGCAAGCAUUAACCAGCCUCCAUCUCUUACACCUGCAGAGAUAAGCACUCACAAAUGUGGCCAUGACAGCAAACUACAUAAAACUAAGAAGUCUGGUAACACUGAUUCUGUGCUCUUGGGGACCAGUGGUAGUUAUACUGCAAAUCAUGAAAAGGGUGAGACAGCUGUAAUUUUUCAAGAUUUAAUGGACCGUAUUAAUGAAAAAUUAAAAUCAAUAGAAACCACAGAUAUAUCUAACCUCAUAAAAUUAUCUAGUACUGAUUGUGAUUCAGACAAUGAUUUUAAACUGGGAGAUUUAAUAACAUCUCUCUUGCACAGUGCAACAGCCAGUGAUUAUAGUUUUAUGGAACUGCUGAGUCAACAUGAUAAAAAGGUAGAAAAUAAAAUUAUUCAGACAAGGUUUCGAAAACGUCAACAAACGUUACUUGCAAUACACAACUCUCCUGAUUCACCAGUGAUCAGAAGGCAAUCUUUACAGAUAAAAAGAGAACUUGCCAGUUUUGAUGAAAACUUUCUGAGAAGAAGGUACAGUGAAAAAAAUUCAAGAAAAUUAUCAUACAGUGAUAAGAUGCUUUCAGUGAACAAAGAAGAAUUCCAGCCUUGUCAAGAGCCUUUAAAAAUUUCAAAAAGCUUUCAAAAUGAAAAUCAUGAAGAAACAUUUACACCAAAUGAGGUAGCACCAUCGAUUCAGGUGCCUCUUGGGAGUUUAGAAACUAACUUGGCUCUUGAUCAAUUUUCAGAAAAUUUUAAAGCAACUUCAUUUGAGAAAAUGAGCCAAAGAAAAUCACAGGAGAGAUCUACAGCUGAGAAACCAACUGUACAAAGUAGUAGGGAAAAUACAAAACUAGAAAAUACUCCAACACUUUUGAGAACUGAUGCUCCUCUUUUGAGCAGAACUAAACGAAAUAUUGUGCCUCCAGGGUGGUAUUCCAUAUAUGUAACAAACGAUUCUGUUUCUAAAAAAUUCCUUGAGGGCAAAAGAGUAUCUGGCUCUGCUCACAGAAAAGAUCUAGGAGAUCCAACUGAAAGUUUUCAAAAUAUAGACUUAAAUAAAAUUGCAAUGAAUUCUAGUUUGCAAGUUGUUGUGGAGCGUUUAGAAGAUACAAUAAAUAUGGCUCAAAGGUCUUGGACUAGUCAAGAAUUAUCUGAAGGAUGUAAAGCAUCCAAAAAAUUGAUAGAAGCAGGUGAUAAAGACCAAAAUGCUGGGAGAGAUUUGACUUUAAGUAGAAUGGCUUGUAAAAAUCAGGGUUUAUCAAAAUCUGUGUUCGCAUCUAGCAGUAAAAGAAGUCAUGACAUGUCUGUCAUGGAUUUGAACAAGACACUUGAUAAUCUGAAGACAUCACCCAUUUUAGAGAAAGGUAGCUCAACAGCCAGUGUUGAAAGUUUGCCAACAAAAUGCGAAGGCAUUGAAAGUUCUGUUUCUAACUAUUUUAGUCCUAUCAAACUCAUGUUUUUAUCUGAGAUUAAAAGCAGUGAAGGCGUCAAAUACACUUUGACUUCCGUCAGCACAUCACAGUCAAAUGCUGAUUUUGAUUCUCACAAACAUAAAAACCAUCAGAUAACUGGAAGAAAAAGAGAAACAACUGAAGAUACACCAAACACUAACUUGGAAGAUUAUAGUUCUAAUCAUCAUGUUUCAAACCUUCAAAGUGAAUUGAACCAAUUUAACUGUGUACUUGAGGCUACACCAUCAUCUGCAGAGUUUACUGACAAUUUAAACAAUGAUAAGCCACAAGAAGACCCUAAGGAAAAGUCAAAUGGUGCUGUUGAUUUACCAUAUAAAAGAAAACCAGGUAGACCUAAAAAAAUCGGUCCCCAAGUUGUGAAGCAGGUUAAAAGGCCAAUUGGAAGACCACCAAAACCUAAAGCUGGUCAAACAAAUGUCAGUGUUUCCCAAAAUGAAUCUUUUAACCCUAGAAAGGAAAAUUCAGAGUCCUUCUUAUCAGAAGUCAAAGAUGUUUGCAGGAAGAGUAUUAUUGUCACUGUUGUUUAUGGAAGGUCAAGAAGAACCAAAAGAUGUGUUUCUGAAGGAAGCACGAACAUCAGCAACAUCUCACUGAACAGUGAUGUCUCUGACUUUUCAGUUAACUCUAGUUGUCUCAGAAAUACUAAAGCUCAUGAGAUUGGCUCUGGUGAAAGUCUGAGUGCUGGCUCAAGAUUGACAACUCAAAGUGGGGUUUGUGAUUCUGACUUUGAAUAUAUUAGACCUAUCAAGAGCAAGUCUAUGAUACCUCAGACUUCCAAGAACAUUAUUCGACCAAACCAAAAACCUUUAUCAAUUGUUAGGAAGCCUGGUCGACCUGCAAAAGUGAAAAUUUCUGGUAUAUCUGUGACUGUUAAUAGAAUUUCACCUCAGGAAAGAGAAGUAUGUAUUAGCAGCUGCUUACCUCCUUUAGAUCAGGAGAUAAUGUUAGAGAAAACUUGCCUAGAAGAAAAGCUUGACCAGCAGUGCAGUAAUGUGGAUAACAUCAAGCACACCAAUGUUGACAUAUUUAAGAAUGAAUCAAAUAGUACUGUUGUUUCUAUACCUCCAAAACAUUCUAUUAGGGCUAGAAAACCUUCUUUGCAUUUCUUACAUUCAUUUGCAUCUUCUGGCUCACUUACUUACAAAAAUGCUCUCCGUCAUAAAUCAUGUAAACUCCAUUUGCAUAAAUGCAAAAAUCCAAAGAAAAAAUACAGGCAGUCGGGUUUUAGACUAGCUUCCAAAGGUAUCCCACGAUCUAGAUGUUCAAAGAAAGCAAAAAAAUAUUUGGAAGAUAAAAAAUUAAUGCCCAUUUCUGAAGUGUCCUUGGACCCUGUAAUUUCAUCCAACCCUUUACUAAGGUGGUGGGCUACUUCUGCUUCAAAUGAUUCCUUGUUAGAGGAAUUAAACAAUAGAUUUGAACAAAUAACAAAUGCGUGGGUACAGGUGAGUAAAGAUGAAGCUCAAAAUUUUGUUCAUAAAACAGAAUACACUAAAGGUGAUCAUUGCGAAGCAGCAAGCCCUCUGGAAACUUGUCUUCUAGAACUUGAAGUUUCACCUGUAAAAAUGCUUUUUCAGAAAAAGUAUAAUUUGAAUGAACUUUGUACCUGGUUUAUGCAAACAACAGAAACACAGUCCCUUUCACUAGUUAGAAAAGCAAAUGCUCGAAACCCUUUGGAAGUGAUAAGCACCAAGGGCAUUAAGUUAGGGGUGAAAUGCUGUGGAUUUAAUGCCAGCCCCUUCAGGAAGCACUUUAAAAAAUUUGCAGUCUCUUCUCCUUCAAAACCAGCUGGGAAAUUUCAUAUACUACAUAAAAUGGUUGGCUCACCACUCUUAAAUGUGAAAAGUAAUUUAACAUUAGCAAGGUUGAAAAGGACUGAGUUUAAGAAUUUGCACUGUGAGAGGUGGAGAAGAGAAGAAAGGCCAUACAGCCACAGAACAGUUGAUUGGAGCUCAAAAAGAAGGAACUUAAGAUUGUUCUGCCAGAAUCCAUCUUGGACUAACUCAGAGGGGCAGACAAAUGCAGAGACAUCACUCAAUGGGAAAGGCACAGUAGGUAACCAGUGGGCCUCACCCCCAGAACCCAGAGUCACCUUUGCUAAAAAGAGGGUGGCAGUACAUGACUUCAGAACACAUGCUAGUUUAGAGAGUAAGUUUAAUGGAACAGGGGGUGGCCAGACUGACUCUGAAAAGGAACAAAUAAUGGAAAGUGUAUCUUCCCAUAAUUGGAGGUCAAAAACUUUAAAAGACUGUAGAAUAUUUUUGAGGAAGAUCAACUGUCUUGAACACAGAAACACUUUUAAGCUAAAUACAAUAAUUUAUUCUCCUGAAUCUGUUGACAGUGGAGGUAGUCAGGCACAACCAGAAGAAUCAAAGCGUUUUAGUUUAAGGUCCCAUUCUGCAAGGCAAAAUUCCUUUAAAAAGCAAAAUGAAGAAAGAGCAAAUCCCAAAGCAAAUAGUCCUGCAAGUAGUAGAUUGACUGGUGAGCUCGACAGCAGUCACUUAAGUAAGCAUGUUAACUUUGACAAGAACCCCGAUCAUUCUGAGGCUCUUAGCAAAUUAAGCAAAAGAAAAAGACCACCAUGGAAGACCACAGAAAUGUCAGCAAAAAGGCAUAAACGACAGUCUUGCAACAGUGGACAAAUGGCAAACUAUUGUACAAAAUCCCAAGUAGGUAAGUUGUUCUCUCCUUCAUUUUAAAGUUUCAUUGUAGGUGCCUUGAGUCAACCAUAAGCUAGUGGGUAGAAAAGGAACAGCUAACUACAUUCUAAUUUAUUUCUAAAAUAUUUGAACAACUUAAUUUCUUGGCACCUAGUAUGAAACUCCUGAAAUUAGGUACUACUAGAUGUAGUGCACUUAACCGCUAAGCUUCAGCAUUCAAACACAAGCAAAUACAUUUAGAAGAGACAUGAAGAACAUUGUGAAAACAGGCCGUGAAUGUAUUUGGUAGGUGACUGUGAAAAGCUAAUUAAAAAUUUACUGCAGGCUAAUACUGGCUCACUCUCAAAAAUACCAACCAUGAGAACAUACAGAAAACAGCUAAAGUGGUCUCAUUAGAGACUAACAUUGUAAUCCUAAGGUGUAAAUCUCCCUCAUUAAGCUGUUACUCUAUUUGAUACUGCUUUGAAAACGUACUGCAAGACUGCUUUUUUAGAAGGUGGUAUAUACUAAUUUUUUUUCAAUGAUCAGCAAGUAUAAUAAGUGGACUUUUAUGAAUUAGAGCUCACUUGUGCAGAUAGAAAGAGGAGGAUUCCUUUAUGGAGCUGAGCAAGUCACUGUUAGGGUCAUUUCAGAUUGAGAAUGGAAUACGAAAUUAAGUGAUGUACCUUAUUAAGAUACACUGACAUUUCAAGGCCAGCCUGGUCUACAAAGUGAGUUCCAGGACAGCUAGGGCUACACAGAGAAACCCUGUCUUGUAAAACCAAGGAGGAAAAAAAUAAAGAUACACUAACAUAGCUUCGGUACUGAUGAAUGUAGUGAUAAUAUGAGCAUGGUAGUUGCCUGAAUAGCCGUUUUUCGUCUGCUUAUUUGGUAGGUACUAAACAGUGCAGGAUAUUAGGUAGGAGACUUUACAGAUUCCAUCUUCACCACGAAAGAAUGCCAAUUUAUAUAUUUAGGAAAAAAGAAUAUUUUAUGGCUCAUGUUCAUUUUUAUAUUUGUAUAACUUAGAAAAAUCUUUGGGGACUUAGGGAAGUAUUAGUGUCUUACUAGAGUCAAUAACAUCAGGUCUCAUUAAAAUAUUAAGCACAAUAAUUAAGUUGAAGAGUUUUAUAUAGGCUUUAUGUGUACCCCCACCCCCAGGUCAGUUAACUGAAUAAUUUUAACAUGCAUACUCCAGUACUCUGUAACAUAUAAUGAUAAAAAUUUCAAAUAUCUGGCAUGAAAAAUGCUUAAAGGAGGUCAAAGUAGACUCUCCAUUACAAAAGAUGAAUGGAAACUCUGAAGAAUAACUUAGGUUUGAUCCUCAAGAAGGCUAAAAAUAAUAUUAUAACAGGUGCUUCAUCAGGAAUAUACCUACUAGCAAAGUUUUAAAAGCUUGUAAUUCACCUAGAACAUGUGUACAAGUUUCACGAAGAAUAAAAUAUAGUUUCAUUUUACUUGUGUUUCAUUUUCACCUCAUGCUGUUGCAGACGUUCUAAAGUGAUUUCACUGUGCAACAGAACCGCAUUUUAUCCUUGCAGCUUCCUACCCAUUGUACUUUCCUAACAAUCAAGCACAGUCUCAACUUUAAUAUUUCUUCACCCUGUCAAAUGUAAGAUUCCUAAGAUAGGAAGAUGACAGAUAUUUAAAUAUCACUUUUGCAAAUUGAUUUUAAAAUCCUUUGUGAGUAUUUUAAAAAUUAGUAACAUAUAAAGAAUUGUUUUUCACCUUUUCCAUUUUAAAAUUUGCUAGUGCUGUUUGCUGUUCUGCUUGAAGUUUAUUCAUCUUUACUGAUAACUUUCCUUCUUUAUUUUUGACAUUUUUUAAAUCAACGAGAUUAUUAUUUUUAGUUAUAUUUAUAACAAUAUUUGUUACGUUUAUGUGAUUUUUAAAUGUUUCUUACAGUGUUGUUGUGUUUUUUUUUUCUCUCAUUAUCUUUGGUAGUCCAUGCUUCUUUUUGCCUUUUUGGAAGUAACACUAAAACUCAUCAUUAGUUUUAUAUGUGUUUUUGGUUUUCAUAUAUAAUUAGUGACUGAAGACGUAAGACUGUUAACUACAGGACUUCUCUAGACAAAUUCUGAGGACAGUGUAUAUUAUAAAUUUUGGAAUAUUUCUAUUUGUGGAAAAUAAUUGUUUCUAUACUGAAUGUCUUGCCUCUGUAUAUACUAACUGUCCAAAUAAGAUUUAAUACAUAAGAUCUUGCUGCACCUGCUGCACUCUGUGUUAAAUGUAGACAUGGGAAGAAGGCAAAUGCAGUUCUAUACUAUUGUACUUCCCCUUUUGAAGGAAUGGCUACAGUAUGUUCUCAGUGUGGAAGGUCUAGGACGUUCCAGUUCAUCAACGGGAGAAAAUAUGUACACAUUCAUAUAAAGUCAUUAUUAUUAUUAUUAUUACUAUUAUUGUAAGCACGAUACUUCAUGUUUGAAGGAAACAGUGAUUAAUGCCACAGGUUUUGCUCUUAGGAAGCAUAGAAAAGUAAAUACUACUGAAUGCUGAGUAAUAUGACAGAAAGAAGAUACCUGGAGGGACAUGAAGGAUUUCAGAUUUAUCCAAUACUGUUGCUUAUAUAGUGAGAAUUAUAAGAAUCUCAAAUACUAGAAGGUAAAAAAUGGUGGGAGAGGUUCAAGUAGAACAAAUUUCAGGCAGAAACUGGAGGCAAUAAAGAUGGCUCAUUUGGAACAUUGAGUAAUUUCUCAGAGCUAAGGUACAAAAUGGAGACUGCAGUGGUCAGUCAGAUAUAAAAUAUCAAAAGACAGAAUCACUGGGAAGGCACUGCUCAAAUGCUGAGGCAACAUCAGUUAAUCGCGGGGGUGGGGGGUGGUCUAAGCCCUAACAGGAAAGUAGGAAAGAAAUUUUACAGAAGUCUAUGGAAUAAAAAUCACAUCUUUUUUUCCUCCUCUUCUCUCAUAAAGUACAUCCCAACAGCAGUUUCUCCUCUCCUGACUCCUCCCAGUCUCCUCCCACCUCCUCUCUUUCAAAGAUCCACUCCUGCACUUCCCUUCAAAAAGAAAAAAAAAGUGCCAGACUCCCAGGGACAUCAAGCAAACACAGCAUAACAGGUUACAAUAAGACCAGGCACAAACAUAUCAAGGCUGGACAAGGCUCAGGCAAGAGAGUCAACAGUAGCACCCACUCCCACUGUUAGGAGUCCCACCGGAACACCAAGCUACAGGACCAUAACAUAAGCAGAGGACCUAGCUCAGCCCCAUAAAGUCAGGGUCUUAAUAGAACACGGGAAUGAAGGGAAACAUCCAGAACUUUGCCUUGAGCAUCAAGGUUUUAGCUUUAAAGGUUUAGAUGAAAUUGGUAUGAUUUCUUUAAAAAAGAUGUCAAAGAAGCCGGUGGGUAACGUGAGUCCCGAACAGAGAUGAGGCUUGAACUGAGACAGAUUUGGCAAAUCAGAGAAGUCACUAAAGUAGGAGAGAUUCCUCAGUAUAAGAUUGCAGGGUCCUAGGAUUCUAGAGUCACCCCAGGAUGCAAGAAAUGGGUGUGCAUGAUAUGAGACUGAUGAACGUAGUCAAAGGAUGAGAGAAUCGAGCAGAGACUGGAGGAAAAUGCCUUAAGAAAGCAGUGUGCUUCAGUCAGUCAUGAUGAGCAUUGAGGUGGCUCCAGGAAAUGCAGCAGGAGGUCACCCUCAUGCUGAGGGAUGGAACACCUAUGUGGAGCAAUAGUCGGAAAAGCCAAGUUCAGCGCCAGAUGCUAAGUGGUCAAAGAGGAAGUAAAAAAAAGAAGAAGAAGAAGAAGAAGAAGUAGCUGUGAGUGGCCAGGAGUUAGAAAGGCGGGCUGCAUCUGCUUAAAGUGAGCUUUAAAAAUGUCCAAAUGUCAAAGCCUGGGAGAAGGAAAAAAGGCUGAGGGGAUGACAUGUGAGGGUAGUCCUGAGACAGGUUAUUGAGUAUGGAUCUUCGGGGUUGGGGCCGGGAGGUUAGAACUUGUUCUGGACCAGAACUUCCUGUUUCUCUUAGAGCCAAGUGGGGGAGAUAAUGUGUCAGAAUAUAGUCAGUAAUCCAUGGGGGUGGGGUGGAGAUCUUGAAAUAUUCAAGUUCAUAUUUUUAUGAAUCAAGAGGUAAUCUGGGUCUAGGAAAUGACUUAGUAAAGUAUCUACUAUGUAUGCAUGAGGACAAGAAUUUGUAGCCCCAGACUCCAUGUUAAGUCUGGCCACAGAUGCACACAUCUGUAUCUAAGCGUUAAGAAGGCAGAGAAGGGUGAGUGACUGGAGCUCACUGGACUCCUGUCGGUCUAGCCAGAUUAUAAGUUCCAGUUUCAGUGAGAGACACUGUCUCAGAAAAUAAGGUGGAAAACUGUUAGAGGAAGGUACCCAGUGUUGACCUCUACCGCCACAUGCAUGUGCACAAGCGUGUACACUCACCCACAUCCACAUGCACAUACUACACGAACAUGUCCAUAACACACAUUCACAGAUGAUGUGCUCUACAGUGUGGUCGAAUUAGGAAACAUGAGGUUUGAAGAGCUGUCUCCAGAUCUACAGACCUGAAUAAUGGUGUAUUUUACCUCAGAAUACCUGUCAGAGUGUACAUGGGUUCAUCAUGGGUAUAAAUGAGAAGACUACAGAGAUCAGUCCAGUGUGAAGAACGUUCUAUGGACUCUAGGGAACUGUAUGAUCAAACUGAAUUGCUGCUACUCUCUUCUAAAGUAUAAAAUAGACAUGAGAGUAGGUUAAGGAAGUGAGCAUUUGAGGAGAUGUAGUUGACAUGUAUAAUACAGUGUUCAAGCUUGAACGCCAGGCCAAGGACAUGAUAGGCACACUACCACUGAGCUAGUGCCCCAGCUUUAAAAUGGGCUGUGUGAAGGGCGUGCUGAGGCCCAAAUAUACUGUAAUUACCAAACAGUAGUCAUACAGACAUUUGUUAAUGUUCAUGUUUCUCAAGUCCAGAGCAAACAUGCCUGUAUCUAAUUGGUAAAUAUUGUAACUUUGGAUAUAUGUGAGGAACUUGGUAAGACUAUACCUCCUAUGGACUUGAUAAUACUGUAGACUCAUUUAACUCAUCCUAAAAUGUUAAUUUUCUUCUUUAAAUAAUCAAGAAUUUGGAUUGUCAUAUAACUUUCAAAAUAUUCAAUUUGUCAGUUUCUAUUUUGUCUUCUCUUCUGAGAAAGUGACUGAAACGUUCCAUGUAUUUUGGCUUCAAAUGCUGCUUUUUACAAAAAUCUAUCACUCCUGUGUGAUUUUGAAAUGAUCAACCCCUUGCACUACCUGAGACCAGGGCUGAAACUGUAACCUACCCUCUCUCAUCCCCUUAGAACAUUCAUUCACUUGAUGAUUGAACACAAGAUGUUCUGUCAGAUUCAUGGGGCUGGGGUACAUCAUUACAGAGUAGUAUUAGACACUAUUAUAAUUUAUAUUAUUCCUCAUCAAUCAGGAGUGGAUUUUUCCUCUUGUUUCCCCUUAGGCACAGUUCCUUCUCAGUGUGGUGCAUUGCAGUUGCUCAACUUUCUCUGUCACUUUCUCUAUCCAUACUUGAAAGCACUCCUUUAUAGAGUUUUCUGAUAAGAGUUUCAGAAAAGAAUGUGACUGUAAAGAUAAGUUAUGUGCUGUAUUUAGCCCUGUUCUGCAUAAAAUAAAAAGUCCAAAUGACAAGGGCUUUGUAAUAUGCCACAGUAAAGGAAUGCUGUGACAAAUACUGUUAAGAGCAAGAUAAUCACAUUCUAGUACCUGAUUUUGCUUUUUAGAUGUUAGCUCAGAUGAGUUUACUAUGGCAUUUUUGAUAGAUUAUAGCUAUAAAACAUAAAUUUAUGGCUAGUUAAAUAAAAGAUCAAAGUGAUUUUUGUUCAUCCCCAAUUCUGCAGCUACAUCUUCCAACAACAGUUGCUUUAGCUCUGUGGUUGUAUCACAAGAGCAGUGUGCGUCCUUAUCCACCCGCAUGUGCGGGGUGGGGGGGUGGGGGGCGCUGUGGACACCAGGUUUUCCAUUUUAUAGAUUUGUAUUCUCUCCCUUCUGAUUGUUAGCAAUGUUUUUCUAGCUGAGGUAAAUUCAAAGGUCAUCCUCCUCUUUGAUGGCCAGCUGCUGACAUCUAUUCCCAGCUAAUUUCAUUGUUCACAUCUGCCACAUAUGAUCUUGUUGUCUCACUCAUGCCUCAAGUAAUCUCUGCCUUUUGUAUUUCUUCUCUCUCUCCCUCCCUUCCUUCCUCAAUCCCCCCUCCCUCCCUCUCUCACUCUCUCUCCCUCCCUCCCCCCCUCCCUCUCUCUCUCUUUGUUUUAAUUUAACUUUCUUGAGACAGACAUUCUGCAUUACACAGGCUAAGUUGAAACCCUGACCGUGAAGUGGCUGUCGUUCAAAACAUGGUCAUGGAACCACUCCAUAUUUGUUUCUUCACUUAAGAAUUCGGUAUUUGGACUGUAGACAUGGCUCAACAGUAAAAUGCACUGGCUGCUCUUCCAUAGCACCCAAAUUCCCAGAACACACAUGAACACCCAUACAAAUAAAAUAAUUAAAAUCCCUUCCAAAGAGAGGAGAGAGAGGCACAGGGGAGAGGAAGAGAAAGAAAAAAAAAAAUGAAAGAAGGAAGGAAGGAAGAAAAUCCAAAUUCAAGGGGGGUUUCUAGUGCUCCCCUUGAAAGUGUGCUCAAUAGCUUGUCUUUUUCUAUGCUGAUCUAAGAGUAAUAACAGUAAAAACAAAGAACUCAGAGCUCUUUGUCCAGCCCCCCUACUUCCUCGUUCUUUCCCUUACAUUUCUAGACCAUAAUAAAUAGUUUUCUUCACUGUGCCUCUGAGCAUCCUGGCAUCACAGCACUAAACCUGAUGCAGUUGCCUCUUGAUGCUUUACACUCCUCCCUGCCCCCCCCCCCCAAAUAACAUGGUAGGUGUCCAAAUGAUUUUUCCCCGCCUCCAUUUUUUUGUUUAUAUUAGUUUAAUUUUCUGCCAAACAUUGACUUCCUCCUCCUAGUUCUAGGCAACACUGGGAAGUUCAUUGUUUAUGUUUUGUUUCUGGUAUAAGAAGGUAGAAAAUUUGGCUUUUGAAAAACUGAGGAUGAGCCCAAGUUUGAGGCCAGGCUGGGCUACAUAGCAAACUCAAGACCCAGUCUCAUAAACAAGUUUGUCUUCUCUGUGCUAGCCAGUAUAAUAAAAGAUUUAUUUAUUUGCUUUUAUUUAUAUGAAUAUGCUGUAGCUAUCUUCAGACACACCAGAAGAGGGCAUCAGAUCCUAUUACAGAUGGUUGUGAGCCACCAUGUGGUUGCUGGUAACUGAACUCAGGACCUCUGGAAGAGCUCUUAAUCUCGGAGCCAUUUCUCCAGCCCCAGCUAGCCAGUAUAAUAAAUGCAUGGGAAACAACAGGAGGUGAAACCAAAUGCAAUUUUUACUUUUGUUUUUACAUUUAUUAAAUGAAGCAGAAAUGAAGCAAAUUAUUUCAGAACUUACUCAUAAGCUCUCAAUUAUUGUGUUGUGCUUUGAGAUUUUAUUAUACAAAGACUUUGUCUGAUCCAGAAAAUGCCUAUUACUGAACUUCAAUAGUAUAAUCGGUACUAAUUAGAUAAAGAGGAAAAAAAAAAAAAAACCCAUGAUACUAGAUAUGGUUACAUCUGAAGAAUAGAUAAGGGGUCCUCGAUGAGCCAUGAAUUAUUGUAGGUGACUUGCCAUCAUACACAGAAGAUUUAGAUUGCAUACGACUAGGAUAACUAUAUGAUGAUAUCCUAAAAAGGUCUCAGAUUCCGUUGUGAAAAGAGUCAUAUAGGACAAGAGUGAAAACAUAGAGCCUUGUGGUAGUCCAGGCGAAAUGUCUCUACUGUAGAACAGUGGGUCACAGUCUGCAGCAUGUGUUAUAGAUGCCAGAAGUACUUAUCUAAAGAGAUGACUGGGUGUCAUCCACAAAGUUGGAUUCCGCAGCUGUGGAGUGCAGCAAGUGAUGCUUAUGCUGAUGAUCCAAGGGCCUCACUUUGAAAGCCAUUGGCCUAGAGGGUAGUAUUAAAGAGAUGCGAAGAUUAAUUCUUCACUGAUGUUAGCAUGGCAAGUUUCUAGCAAAAUACUUGAGGUAUAUUCAAAUUUUGCUGAUAUGUUUCUGUUAAUUCAAACUAAUUUGUAAUUUUAUUAAAAAAAUCAUUUAAUUGCAAUGAAUUCACAAGUAAAAAGAUCAUGCAGCUAGAUCAAAGUGCCACAAAAACAUUUUCCCAUCCCCAAACUCUACGUUUCAAAGAACUUCACAGUAAAAAGUGGCCAUUCUGAAGCCAUGAAGCUUGGCUUACUUAGGCUUUUACACUUUCACUACCAAUUACAUUUUUUUUUUUGCAAUUAUCUGCCACAAUAAAAUAAGAAAAAAAGACAUAUUGGAGUUGAAACCAGAAAAACAGUUAGCUUUAGAUAUCCUCUUCACAACUCAGGUGUCCUUUGCCUACAUCUUAUGCUUCCUCAUGUGAUACUAUCCUCCUUUCAAUUCUUUUAAUUUGAUCUACCCUAUGUAUUAUUUCAAACUUUGUUUUUGUUGUUCAGUUUACAAAUAGUUGAGACCUUUAUUGAAACCUUAGUGAUUUCUGAUUUAUUUGUGGCCUUAAAGAAUAAUUUACAUCAAUCCAGUCUUUUUUAAUUGACAGAUUUAGUUUAUAUUGCAGGAUCUUAUUUAUUGCAUUUUAUUUGUUUACUUACCUGUUGGUGGUCAUAUGUGCAUAUAUGGUACAUAGGAAGAUCAGAGGACAACUUGUAGAAGUCAGAUCUCUCCUUCCAACAUGGAAUCAUACUCAGCUCAUCAGCUACCCAUGGGGCCAUCUCCUUAGCCUUCAGGUUCCAGAACCCAUUUAAGUAUUCCAAAAUAAUCCAUUUUUGAAAAUAGUGUGGAGGCUACAUCUGUUGAAGGCCCUGUGAAUGCCAGUGGUCCAAGUUGCUGAAUGAGCCUGCUGUUGUCAGUUUUCUCACUAAAUUUCAGUCUUGUCUGUUCCUUAGAGAAGCCUUAGCCUGCAAAGCGGGUUGGGGGUAUUCCUUUCUUUUAAGUCUCACUUCAUGUCUUUUAUAGCACUGUAUUGGGUGCAUAUAUAAUUAGAAUCAUUAACUGCUUUAUUGAUUUUUUUUAAUUGUGGAAUAACCGUAAUGCCUAAAAAAACCCUGUAUUAUAGACUCUAUUUUAUUUUGUAAUGACCAUUCUGACUCACUUUUCAGUAUUUGUAUAUCUUUUCUGUAAUUUCAUUUUUUACAAUUAUGAUUUUAUAUUUACUUGGGUUUUUCCUAAAUAACAUAUGGUUGAGGCUUAGGCUCUCCCCUCCCCCAAUUUGAUACCUGCCUUUUACUAAGCCACUUAUAUUUCAUGUUAUUAUUAAUAUGAUUCAGUUUCAGUCAGCUGAAACAUUUUCUAUUUUAGCCUAAUUUUUUCCCCUCAGGGUCUAUAUAUUUUAAUAGUCUAUUUAGUCUCUUAAAUUACUCUUAAAAAAUGGUUGCUAUUCUGGACCUAUUGACCCAAGCUUGGAAGCCCAGCUACUUGGAGGCAGAGGCUAAAGAAUCUCACGUUUGAGGCCUUCCUGGAUAGCUCAGUGAUGCUCUUUCUUGAAAAUUUUAAAAAAGGGCUGGGGAUAUAUUGUAGCAUACAUGGGUGACACCCUAGAUAGCAUCACCAGGGCCAUACAUACAACUUAAAAUGGAGCUAUUAGAUUUACACUAUAUAUCAUUACAUCACCUUCAAAUAUUCACUUCAUGAAUAAUAAAUUUUAUUACAUUUUUACUUCCUUCCCCAAGUCUUUGUGCUGUUGCUGCCAUAUAUUUUAUUUCUAUAAAUAUAUAAAUUAUACAAAUACUAUUUCAGGAAUACUAAUUCCACUCUUCCUAUUUUUUCUUUAAACAAUAUAAUUUUGCAUUUUCUGUUGCUAUAACAAAAUAUAUGAGGUGGACACUUUAUAAAGAACAGAAAUUUAUCUCAUCUUGACUGAACUCUAGAGAUCAAGCAGCCCCAACCAACUCUUUAGACUUCUUCAAGGCAGGGGCCCCAAAAUCAGAGGCAGAAAGUGAAAUGACUACCUAAGGCAGGUGGGUCUUGUAAAAAAAAAACUACAUGAAUCACUUUUGAGAAUAGUGUCAUCCCAAUGGGCAACACAGCGGGAAGUUCUACUGCCUACAAUACCAUGGCACUUCUAGAGACAUGAACCCGUCGAGGGGACACACAAGCCACAUCCAGUCUGAAGUGCAUAGUCAUCUUCCAAGCACAUUUAAAAAAUAAUUUUUCCUUUUCAUGACUUCGUUUUUGUGCUUUUUAAAAAAUAAAUCAAGCUUUCCAUCUAAUAUCAUUUCAUUCUUCCUGCAUCUUUUUCCUGAGUCUCCAGUGCGUGGUUCUGCUGUGGGUUAUUUUCCCUCAUCCUUUUCUUUUUAUGUGGCAUUCCUUUUCAAGGGGUACCUUGUGAGCUGGGCAGAGAGAUAGACACCUGUAUCCAGCUUAAUGUGGGAGGCAGAAGGAUCAUGGGUUUGAAGGCAUCCUGGUCUAUAUAAGGACUUAUUCAUGGCCACCCUGAGCUACUUGGACCUUUAAUAACACAGGCACUGGGAUGGGGGUGGGGGGUUGCUCAGUGGUAGAGCAUUUGCUGAGCAUUGAUAAGGCCUAGAGUUUGAUCCCAAACACUGCAAAUAACUUUUUUUUUCAUUGACAUGGACUUCAAUUUAAUUGAUUUUAGUCUUUUAAAGGUUCUUUUUACCUUGCUGCUCCUGAAAUUACGUCUGUGGCUCUGGUUAAUUUUAUCUCCUGUAUGUUAAUUUUCCCCUGAAUUAGCAGUUUGAUCAUGAAGAUUCUUAGCACGAUUCCCUGUUUCCUCUUAGUAUUUGUUAGGCACCUUGAAUAUGUGGGUUUAGUCAUUCAUAACCAUUGUUCUUCAGUAAGUAUCCAUCUGUCUUUACUUCUGUGAUGUGUGUCAUAUGUAUUCUGCCCAUGUCAGAUACUAAUUUCAGUAGUUACCUCUCUUCCAUUGUGGCUAGUAUUAAUCAUGUAUUUUUCUGUCAUUGACAAUUCUUAGUUAAUUGUGUAGUCUGUUGUCAGUACCACACAGAAUGUUUCCCACUUUGUGGAGUAUGUGUUACAUGUAGUUUCCAGUACCCUGCUUUAAGCUCCAGGUGGACCUCACUCCCAGCCCAAAGAAUAUUGGAUCUGCAGAUGGAAACAGAGAGAGAGAGAGAGAGAGAGAGAGAGAGAGAGAGAGAGAGAGAGAGAGAGAGAGAGAGAGAGAGAGAGAGAGACUGACUGCCUGCCUGAUUGGCUCAAUUGCUGGGCACUUCUACUCUCCCACAACUAACAUGCCCUUCCCAAUAUUCUUUACUCUGCACCUCUUAAUCUGCCCUUAGCUUAGUUAUCCUGGUUACCGUCUCCUUGUUCAAAAACCCAAAACUGCCUUCAGCUUAGUUGUGUUUCUAAUCUCCCACCUGGGAAAGUAGCCUAAGAGCUCACAUGGCUGGUUUUUCUCCCUCCAAAGCAUGGUCAAAUCCCUCUUUCUGCAUCUCUUAGCCUGCCUGAGGGGACCUAGAGGUCGCACCUCUUUCCUUCCACCCUGCAGCUGGCCCCUGGCAUCUUUCAAUCAAGAACCAGUUGGGGAACAGGACUUUAGCAUCAGCAACUCUCCCUACAAGUAUGCCCAUCUCCAUUUCAGACUUGCUAUUUGUGCUGCUCAUUUCCCACUGUAUUCUCCACUUGAACUUACAGAACUUAUAUUUUCAAUACCUGUAUUGUCAUCCUUUUGUGCUAACUUUGUAAUUUGUAUUAUCUGUCCCUGUAGAGUGAAUUUGUGUUGUUAGGAAUCAUAUUUUCCUGUUUUCAUGCCUACUAACUUGUAUAAAAUGUGAGGCAUUGUGAGUUUUAAGUUGUUUUCUGCUGGGUCUUUCUUUUCUUCAUGAUUCUUUACAUGUUUUGGACUCUUACUGAGAAAUACUUUAAUCCUUUCAAGUCAUCUUUAAGCAUUACUAGCAAAAGCCAGAGUAGCUGUUAGUCUACAACAUUUGGUACUCAAGGGAUGGUUUUGCUCCACAGACGACAAUUUUUGACACAUUUAAAGACUGCUGUGGGCAUCAGGCAGAUAGAGGCCCAGAGAUGUUGCUAAACAUCUUACAGUGGAUAGGCCGACCUUCACAAUAAAGAAUCAUGUGGCUCCCGAAUGCUAUGAUUAGAAAGUUUUCCAUCUGAGCAAUCUUAACACUCACUUGAAGAGUCUUAGAAGAUCCAAAGUCUGAUAGGUGGGAUUGUAAAUUAUAUCCAGAUAGGAAUGGCUUCAUAAUUUUCACAGCUUUGGUAAAGACUCAUGUCCUUCUCUUCACAUCACCAUGUAUCUAAACACCUGGGAACACCCAGGUGUUUAGUUCUGCUUGAUUCUAUUUUUGCUCUUCCAGUGAAUACAAAUAUGAGAGUAGAGAUCCUUGCUGUUUUGUCCACCAUUUCUUGUAGUUCUGGGGUAUACAGUAGUAAAUAUUCCUCUUCCCCAAAAAUUUCUCUCAGCAGCUUUCAACUGUCUCCUAUACUCAACUACAUCUAAUGCCUCCUGGGUUCCUCUUCCCAUCGUGCAACAUGGAAAUCCAGGUGUCAAGCCAGUUGUCAGAAAUCAGUUAUACUGCCCUGCCCUGUAUAUUUUAACCUUUCGUUUAAGCUGUUUCAAAGCCAGAAGGCAAAUCUGGUUCCUAUUACUUUAUUGUGGCCAAAGCAGAUAUCCCAGAUUUAUUCUUUCAGCAAGCAUUUGUCCAGUUUUUAUGUGGUAGAUACUGGAAAGAAAUGGUGGACAAAACAGCAAGGAUCUCUACUCUCAUAUUUGUAUUCACUGGAAGAGCAAAAAUAGAAUCAAGCUGUGUUGAAGAUGUUGAACUCUAGAAUUAAUUUCUUAGGGGAUAACUUUGGGUUGAGAGAGGGAAAUCCUUUGUGAUACUGGGGGUUAAGAUAGCACUUACAAACACAACAGAAUGGGUUAGGAUCUUGCAGACCUUGCAGAGUGAGAAGCAAACAAAGCGUGGAACUCACCUUUGAGAGAAUCUCAGCCUUUAUUUUCCAGAUGAAGUGGCUUACGGUGGGAAAGACAGCAAAGUAAUGUGUCUGGUCUUAAAUGCCUAAAACUGUUUCAGGAAGAAAGAUGGGAUAGUUUGGUCUCCUUGGGUUGACACAAAUACUACAAACUUACUGCUUAAACAGUCAUUUGCUUUCAGUUCUGAAGGCAGGGGACCCACAACUACCAGCAGGAUUUGGUUUCUGGUGACUGUUUCCUGGAUUACAAAAUAGCAGCCUUCUCACUGUGCUCUUACAUUGCAAAAAUGACUCUGGUAUCGCUUCCCCAGAGGAGGAUACUAAUCUACUCUGUACAACUCUGAUUUAUCUUAAUUACUUUCCAAAGGCCCUAUCCCUAAGGUGAAGGCAUAGCAGAGACCAUCAGUAUUGAACGGUGAGAAAACAAGAUGAGACAUAAAGAUGGGAGUCAUCAGUGCAAUCAUCAGGAGUGAUCUGAGUAAGAAGUACUAUUUUCAUGGAGCACUGGAAGCCAGAUAGGUUUAUUUACUGAAGACAUGAGAAGAUUGUAAUACCACGUGCAGGAUUAUUCAUUUAAGGCACCUAAAGGAUUAAUGAAGAACACGAGUUACGGGAAAUUCUUGUUCAAGGUUAAAACUGCACUGACUCAAACCAUCUUGCAUGCUACAAAUGAAAACUGAUGAGAAAGUGGAUUUGUCUGAUGGGAACACAGCAAGCUGCCCAUUGAGCCCCAUUAAGAUGUGCCUUAAUCAUCCUAUUGAAUGGAAUCUAACAGCAGCAUCUCUAGCAAGCUGUACAGUUCAUAACCAAAAUCUCAAAAGUGAAGAAAAUUAGUCUGCAGCCCUUGCACUAUCUUUAUUUUCUAUGUCAAUAUUCUUUCUCAUGAAAACCAAUUGAUACUAAACUGUUUCUAGUCCAGUGAUCUGUCUUUAUAUUAGGUCAUUAGCAUUAAUCAUUUUAGUAUAAUUCUGUUUUUACAUACAUUAUACAAGACCAUUGUGGGAUUUUACAACAAAAGCAGAUUUUGAUGUUCUCUUUUUAUCAGUGAAUUUUUUAAUGCUCUCAGCUUAAAUAUGUAAUUGCCCAGUUCUAUUUCUGUGCAGUUUUCACAUAUAACAAAUUCUGUAAUUUAGAAAGCUUGUAUUGUAAAGAUGUGUGAUAAUGACCUAACCCGUGAACAGUUGUGUAACAGGUGGAUGCUAACUACCUCGAAGCAAACUGGGAAAGGCAAAGGUAUCAGUUAGAAGUAUAUCUCUUCUAAAGUUAUAUAUGUAUAGAAAAAGAUUGAUUAGCUUAUUAAAUAGCAUGUUUUCAUUCAUUAAAAAAAAUGGGUUAUCAGUUCCCUUUCUGUAAUUUAAACCACUCAUCUGUGGGCCGUAAGAGCAACGGCACAAUUGCAUGUUUACUCUUCAGCAAAUCUGUGCCUCGAUGGUAAGCAAGGACACUGGUUUAAGUUCACAAUUGUGAAUGGAAAAACAAACACACACACACACACACACACCAAAGGUUAUGUUUUUUAAACCUAUUGGUUGUAUUGUAUUUUAGCAGUUUGUUCCAAAGUUUACAGGGGUGUCUUGCAGAAGUAGGACAAUAUUCCUUAGUAAUGCUAAUGAUGCUAGGUAUACCUGCAGCCACAGCUAUUGUCUAAAAUCUGAGUAGUAAAACUGCUACUAAUGGAUUGGUGCUUAAAGUCAGAGAAAAGCAAACUUCAGUAGUGUCUACAUGAUCAUAGCUUCUUUCCUUUUGGCUACUCUGCACAUGUCUAAAUGAGAUGAUAGUUCAUUCCUAGUGGCUUUCCCUUACACCAUGCCAUUCUAGCCCUGCUCACUUCCUGUUCCCCAUGAAUUUAAGACAAGGAUUUAACAAGAACUAUAUCAAUAAGAAAUAUGAAGCACAGGAAAAGACAUAGAGCCAAAAGAUGGACAACAGUGUUUUUCAUUGGUUUGUAUCAUUACCAUAUCAUUCCUUUUGCUUAAUAAGCAUUCUUGCUUUGUAACUCUGACUCCUUUUCUCAUUUCUAUAAAGCACAUGUUAUGUGUAUAGACUGAAUAGCCUUUUGGUUUUAAAAGCCAGCAAUACCUUUCAUUCCAUCUCAGAACAACUGUUAAAUGGCCUCUGAUAAAUAAAUUUAAUGAAGCAGAAGCACAAUAAAAAUUUCAUGUUAGGACAUUUUUAUCCAAAUAAAAGGUGUUUCCUUGGGUAUGGCAGAAAGAAAAGGGACUACUUUUAUGUUUCACAGCAAUGACAAUUUCCUAAGAUAACUGAAAUGAACAGUGAAGAAACUGUGCUCAUAAAUCAGUACAUAAAGAUUACUUCCUAGGACUUUUAUUUCCCAUUAGUAUUAUUUAUUAUUCAAGGUAGAGUAUGUUUUGAUGUGCCAAAAACCAAUGUAUCUUUCAUGAUUAAUGUGUGUGUGGGCAGCACCCUAAUCUAGAAUUCAUUCAUAAAAUAGUGUUCCUACAUAGAAAAAUUUAGGAAGAGAAAUUACCCAUUGUGGUAAAGUUAUCAAAUAAAUACUGAGUAUAGGAAUGAUGCAGUUUCUCAAAGCCAUUGUUUAAUGUAAAUAAGGAGUCUGAAGUCAUGUGGCAUCAUUCAUGUUUCCUGAAACAGAGCAGGCUUUCUGACUUUAUCAUAGUAACUAUUAAAGCAAAGUUAUAAGCACAACUUCAAAGGACUUCAUCCUUAUCAGCUCUCUUAACUUGUAUCUUCAUUAAGGAACUCUGCAAGGUUAAGUUUACUUUUCUGUAGCGCAGCUGUUUUGGCUCGUCUGGGUAAUCUCAUCUUCAUUUCUGAUGGUGGUUCAUGAUCACUAAACAGAUGUAAAAAAACACAUGCAUUUAGAUAUAAGCUUUAAAAAUCAGAAUAUUUAUAAAUAAAACAUUUUGGUUUCUCACAUUCCAAUAUUGUGUAAUAGCCUGAGUCUAAUAACUAAGCUUAAAACUAAAAUUUCAAGCAAUAACCAAAAAACUAAUGGCUGGAUGGGUGUCCUGCCAAGUGAAUCAGAAAAAUCUAACUAAUCUGGUGAUUUUUUAAUCUACUGUUAAAACCUGGUGUCAUACAUACAGGGAAAGAAGCAAGCACAAGCUUUUACAGUAAAGCUUGUAAUCACAUGGGGACCAUACAAUCAUCCUAAAGGAUUUAGAAUUCAAGUGAAAAAACAAACAAACAAACAUUACUAUGUUAUCUUAAUUUAUUUAGUAUACUGCUAAAACAUUGUAAAGUUCCCCCAAAAGCACUUUAGCCAAGGCUUAAUCUAAGAAAACAUGCAAGGUCCAAUACUAAUGACUAAACGAAUGCAAGACAGCUACAAACUUCUCAAGCUCAACCUUGUCUUUGCAGUGACAAAAAACAAACAAACAAAAAAAACUAUUAACACAAACCACUAGUACUUUAAACUUAUAAGCAAAAUUGUAACUCAAAGAAUCUAAAUAUUAUCUAAAUCAAGAUAAGAGUUACAUAUAUAAGGUCAUGUAAACAGAAAACAUGGAAAUACAUGGAAACUCUUGUUUCCAUACAAAGAGAAUAUAUCAAACUAAAACUGACGCCAACUAAUAAAAAUAUACAACUCUUCAUAAGUCAAAUGUUCUAGAUAUUUUUAGACUAUUGACCAAGAUCACAGAUAAUUAUGGUUUCCACUAUCUGGUAAUAUACAAAGUUUCUCUCACAAGAAAAUUACAAUAUUCUAUAUACUUCUGAGCAAAAAAAACUGGUUGGCAUCUUCUGUCUUAUAGAAAUACAUGAUGUACCUUUCAGAGUCUGGCCCAGCAAUCUGGCGUCUCCUGUUGGUCUUAGAUGAAACUGGCGCUUUUCUACAUCCUUAAAGACAGCAUAGCUUAUUGGCACAAUGUUUAAUGGUUUCGUGUUUCUAAAUCUGGUUACCAAGCCAUCCAAAUCUUUUACUUUCAGCACAACAAUCUUUUCCAAUACACUUCCUUAUUCCUAUCCACUCUGACGCUCUCAAUACAUAGUGGAGGGGGAAAAUACUAAAAUUUAUGUAAAUUUCUUUGGAUGAGCACUACAAAUAUGUGACAAAGAGGCAAACUUUAGGUCACAUGUGAUGACAAAACCAUCUCAGGCUGAGUGUGAUAGCUCAUUUGGAAAAGUUCUGGCUUUGUUAAGGAUAGAGUUUAAGUGCCAGAACCCAGAUAACAGUGAGGUGUGGCAGCACAUGCUUAUGAUCCCAGCACUGGGAAGGCAGAGACAUGCAGGGGCUCUGCCUAGAUCCCUAGGUGGUCAUCUAGCCUAGCCUACUUGGAGCACUCCAGGCCAGUGAGAAAGUCUUGACUCAAAUGCAAGUAGACCAUGACUAAGGAGUCUCCACAUUAAGACUUAUACACACAUAAAUGAAUGAUCACACACUCAUAUAAAACAGUUUUCUCUUAGAGCAGAGGUAGAGUUAAUAUAGAAAAACUAACAAAAAUCUUACAAGGGCAAGCUCAAUCAAUGAACAGUUUCUAGAUGGAACUGCAUUUUUAUUACAUAUAUUUAUCUUUGAAGCACUACAUUGCUUAGCUAGUCUGUCCUCAAAUUGAUGAGCUCAAGCUAUCCUCACACAGCCUCUAGAACAGCCAUUAUUACAUCUAACACUGUACCUGGCUUCAAAAGAAGUUUACACAGCAAGAUACAGGUUGCUUGUAAAACACUUAAACUUAUACAUAGAAAAUUCAAAUGUGUUCAUAAAUAUAACUCAAUGUUUUUUAAAAAAAUAAGAGCCUUUAUUCACCAGGGUUUGCUAUAUUCUACAAGGUUGAAAACUAAGGACUAGGGACUGUGCUCAGUGGGUAGCGUGUUUGCCUAGCAUGUAGAAAUCCUGGUUUGCUCAACCAUGUAAAAUGGAGCAUGGUAAUCCAACACCUAUAGUCCCAACCUGUAAUCAGAAGUUCAAGGUCAAAAUAGUGACUUUGAAGCUAUCCUAGGAUAUAUGAGAACCUAUACUGAAAAAAGUCAUAACAAAUUUGGCCUACAAUGUUCUUAAUUGUAUAUAAUGUAUACAUACAUGUAGUAUGUAUACAUUAAGUUUGAACUAUUAAAAAAUGGAGUUUUCAUACUUUAUUCUGUAACUAAAAAUAAUCUGAUCAAAAUCAAUUGUUCACUUGACAAUUUAUAUGAAAACUGUAUAUUCUAUUCAUUGUUAUAUAUUUCCACCUCAUAUCUUAUUUGUUUUCAAUAAUGUAUUUAUCCCCAAGAAAACAUCCAAAAAUAUGGAAGUAAUUUGGAACAAUAUCCAGUAAUUGUUUAAAUAACUGGUUUGUUAUAAAACAAUGUUAUGGCCAGAUUCUAUUCUAGAAAAGAUUAAACAUACUUAGAACAGAGCCAUAAAACUAUUUUCAAUAAUUAAAAUCAUGUUUGGCUCAUGGGUGUGACUAUUAGUGUUCUUGAUGGUAGGUCUGCCUGGAUGUACUUUCUUAGUCUUCUGUAAUAAGCAUGCAUUGCUUUUGUAAUAAGGAAUUAAUAAAACAACUUUAAAAGCCUUGAA